rnacentral:lncRNA from 13 species
AAGUUACAUGAAGUGUGCCUGACUCUCCUGCCUUGCCUUCUACCUCCUUCACCUCAACUGUCUCUGCCAUUUUUGAGAAAGCAAGACCAACACCUCCUCUUACUUCUCCUCUCCAGACUACUCAAUGGGAAAACAAUGAGGAUAACACGUUUUAUAAUGAUCUACUUCCACUUAAUGAAUAACAACAGAGAUGCCGAACCCACAUCUCUGUCUUCUUUUGGGCCUGCCACACAUCAGUCUUCUGCCUGAACAUUCCAAAGAGCAGCAUGCAAAGAAGAAAGCUGCCAUAUAGCUUGAAGAUGUUGAUCUUUCUCUCCUAUGACAGGAUUGUUUGACGGUAAUAGAUGAAAAGGUCAGAGUCUUUCUCUUCCCACUACCCACUACCCAACCAAGACACUACCAAACUCUUCAGAAUAUUGAAUUGUGGUUCAAACAUACAUGUAGAGUGAAGAUUUACUUUGAAAGGGCAUGGAUAUGAAACCAAAAGCACAGCCAACAAAUUAAAAAAUAAACAACUGGGAUUAUAUUGAACUAAAAAAGCU